GCGAGGGUGCCCAAGCGGCUAAGGGGAGCGGCUGCAACCCGCUUUAUCAUGGGUUCGAGUCCCAUCCCUCGCU
rnacentral:tRNA from 1 species